rnacentral:rRNA from 1 species
AUUGAACGCUGGCGGCAGGCUUAACACAUGCAAGUCGAGCGAGCGGCGGACGGGUGAGUAAUGUCUGGGAAACUGCCUGAUGGAGGGGGAUAACUACUGGAAACGGUAGCUAAUACCGCAUACCAUCAGAUGUGCCCAGACGGGAUUAGCUAGUAGGUGGGGUAAUGGCUCACCUAGGCGACGAUCCCUAGCUGGUCUGAGAGGAUGACCGGCCACACUGGAACUGAGACACGGUCCAGACUCCUACGGGAGGCAGCAGUGGGGAAUAUUGCACAAUGGGCGCAAGCCUGAUACAGCCAUGCCGCGUGUGUGAAGAAGGCCUUCGGGUUGUAAAGCUCUUUCAGCAAGGAGGCGUUACUCGCAGAAGAAGCACCGGCUAACUCCGUGCCAGCCGCCGCGGUAAUAC